CCUACGGGUGGCAGCAGUGGGGAAUAUUGGACAAUGGGGGCAACCCUGAUCCAGCCAUGCCGCGUGUGUGAAGAAGGCCCUCGGGUUGUAAAGCACUUUCAGUGAGGAAGAACGCCUGGUGGUUAAUACCCAUCAGGAAAGACAUCACGCACAGAAGAAGCACCGGCUAACUCCGUGCCAGCAGCCGCGGUAAUACGGAGGGUGCGAGCGUUAAUCGGAAUUACUGGGCGUAAAGCGCGCGUAGGUGGCUUGAUAAGCCGGUUGUGAAAGCCCCGGGCUCAACCUGGGAACGGCAUCCGGAACUGUCAAGCUAGAGUGCAGGAGAGGAAGGUAGAAUUCCCGGUGUAGCGGUGAAAUGCGUAGAGAUCGGGAGGAAUACCAGUGGCGAAGGCGGCCUUCUGGACUGACACUGACACUGAGGUGCGAAAGUGUGGGUAGCAAACAGGAUUAGAUACCCGGGUAGUC
rnacentral:rRNA from 1 species